CGUCUCGGUUAGAUUGGGAUACUCAUCAAAUAACAAUGAAAACCGGGCAGUCUUCUCUUGUCGAUGGCGGGCCAUUACCCAAGCGUUUUCCAAAUGCCGAUGGAUUACAAAGACGGAGAGCACCCAUAACCUGUGAUAAAGGAGUUUUCAUCACAUCACCCUGGCGGUCCCU
rnacentral:sRNA from 1 species